UACGAAGGGUGCAAGCGUUACUCGGAAUUACUGGGCGUAAAGCGUGCGUAGGUGGUUUGUUAAGUCUGUUGUGAAAGCCCCGGGCUCAACCUGGGAAUGGCAAUGGAUACUGGCAAGCUAGAGUGCGGUAGAGGGUAGUGGAAUUCCCGGUGUAGCGGUGAAAUGCGUAGAGAUCGGGAGGAACACCAGUGGCGAAGGCAGCUCGCUGGGACGUUACUGACGCUGAGACGCGAAAGCGUGGGGAGCAAACAGG
rnacentral:rRNA from 1 species